rnacentral:lncRNA from 1 species
UGUCAAUAUGCUUUUUGCAACUUGAUUUUAUCAUUCAGUAUAUGUCUUUUAAAGGUUGCUUUGUUUUGAAGACAGAGUCUCGCUAUGUAUUUCAGGCUGGACUUGACCUCACUAUGUAGCCCAUGCUGGCCUCCAAUCUGCAACAAUCCUCCUGCCUCAGCCUCCCGAGUGCUGGAAUUACAGAUUCUUUUGUUGGAGCCAUGUGGAAAUUCUUCGUUCUUGUGCAUACCAUGUAUUUGUUGACGGAUUUAUCUUCCUGUGCCACAGUUUGGAAAAUGCCCCCGGUGGAGUGGCAGGAUGAACGUCAUGAUGAGUUACCUUGCCUCUGAAUGAAGAGGUCUUGUGCCUGUGGGAGAUGGCAGAAAGAAGAGGCCACUAGGGGGCGCCCAAGACCUCAGAAUAGUUCACCUAUACCAGUAAAAGACACUGCGGGCUCAGCUGCCUGCCUCAGAAUUGGAGGCCUCCAUCUGCCCAGACUCUGGAAUGAUCCAGGAAGGCCUGCACGGGCUCAUUGGACAGGGAAGAGUAUGGCUGGCUCCGAGAGGAGAG